rnacentral:rRNA from 1 species
AGUGGCGGACGGGUGAGUAACGCGUGGGUAACCUACCCUGUACAGGGGGAUAACAGUCAGAAAUGACUGCUAAUACCGCAUAAGACCACAGCACCGCAUGGUGCAGGGGUAAAAACUCCGGUGGUACAGGAUGGACCCGCGUCUGAUUAGCUGGUUGGUGAGGUAACGGCUCACCAAGGCGACGAUCAGUAGCCGGCUUGAGAGAGUGAACGGCCACAUUGGGACUGAGACACGGCCCAAACUCCUACGGGAGGCAGCAGUGGGGAAUAUUGCACAAUGGGGGAAACCCUGAUGCAGCGACGCCGCGUGAAGGAAGAAGUAUCUCGGUAUGUAAACUUCUAUCAGCAGGGAAGAUAGUGACGGUACCUGACUAAGAAGCCCCGGCUAACUACGUGCCAGCAGCCGCGGUAAUACGUAGGGGGCAAGCGUUAUCCGGAUUUACUGGGUGUAAAGGGAGCGUAGACGGACUGGCAAGUCUGAUGUGAAAGGCGGGGGCUCAACCCCUGGACUGCAUUGGAAACUGUUAGUCUUGAGUGCCGGAGAGGUAAGCGGAAUUCCUAGUGUAGCGGUGAAAUGCGUAGAUAUUAGGAGGAACACCAGUGGCGAAGGCGGCUUACUGGACGGUAACUGACGUUGAGGCUCGAAAGCGUGGGGAGCAA